rnacentral:rRNA from 1 species
GACGAACCGUGCGAACGUUAUUCGGAAUCACUGGGCUUAAAGCGCGUGUAGGCGGGACGGCACGUCGGUCGCUGAAAGCCCCCGGCUCAACCGGGGAAGGGGCGCCGAUACGACCGACCUGGAGGGACGUAGGGGGACCUGGAACUUCCGGUGGAGCGGUGAAAUGCGUUGAGAUCGGAAGGAACGCCCGUGGCGAAAGCGAGGUCCUGGACGUCUGCUGACGCUGAGACGCGAAAGCCAGGGAGCGAACGGG